rnacentral:misc_RNA from 1 species
GAAAUGCGAUAAGUAGUGUGAAUUGCAGAAUUCAGUGAAUCAUCGAAUCUUUGAACGCACAUUGCGCCCCUUGGUAUUCCAUGGGGCAUGCCUGUUCGAGCGUCAUUCGUACCCUCAAGCUCUGCUUGGUGUUGGGUGUUUGUCCCCGUCUCCGCGCGUGGACUCGCCCCAAAGUGAUUGGCAGCCGGCGUACUGGUCCCGGAGCGCAGCACAUGUCGCGCAAACGAGUGCCUUGGUACGGCGGCGUCCAUAAGCCCCUCUCUCACGCUCUUGACCUCGGAUCAGGUAGGGAUACCCGCUGAACUUAAGC